rnacentral:rRNA from 1 species
UACGUAGGUGGCAAGCGUUGUUCGGAAUUAUUGGGCGUAAAGAGCUCGUAGGCGGCUUGUCACGUCGGGUGUGAAAGCCCGGGGCUUAACCCCGGGUCUGCAUUCGAUACGGGCUAGCUAGAGUGUGGUAGGGGAGACUGGAAUUCCUGGUGUAGCGGUGAAAUGCGCAGAUAUCAGGAGGAACACCGGUGGCGAAGGCGGGUCUCUGGGCCGAUACUGACGCUGAGGAGCGAAAGCGUGGGGAGCGAACAGG